rnacentral:rRNA from 1 species
UGAGGAAUAUUGGACAAUGGGCGCAAGCCUGAUCCAGCCAUGCCGCGUGCAGGAAGAAGCAUCUAUGGUGUGUAAACUGCUUUUGUACGGGAAGAAACACUCCUUCGUGAAGGAGCUUGACGGUACCGUAAGAAUAAGGAUCGGCUAACUCCGUGCCAGCAGCCGCGGUAAUACGGAGGAUCCAAGCGUUAUCCGGAAUCAUUGGGUUUAAGGGGUCCGUAGGCGGUUUAGUAAGUCAGUGGUGAAAGCCCAUCGCUCAACGAUGGAACGGCCAUUGAUACUGCUAGGCUUGAGUUAGUAGGAGGUAACUAGAAUAUGUAGUGUAGCGGUGAAAUGCUUAGAUAUUACGUGGAAUACCGAUUGCGAAGGCAGGUUACUACUAAUGGAUUGACGCUGAUAGACGAAAGCGUGGGGAGCGAACA